GACGAACGCUGGCGGCGUGCUUAACACAUGCAAGUCGAACGGAAAGGCCCUGCUUUUGUGGGGUGCUCGAGUGGCGAACGGGUGAGUAACACGUGAGUAACCUGCCCUUGACUUUGGGAUAACUUCAGGAAACUGGGGCUAAUACCGGAUAGGAGCUCCUGCUGCAUGGUGGGGGUUGGAGAGUUUCGGCGGUUGGGGAUGGACUCGCGGCUUAUCAGCUUGUUGGUGGGGUAGUGGCUUACCAAGGCUUUGACGGGUAGCCGGCCUGAGAGGGUGACCGGCCACAUUGGGACUGCGAUACGGCCCAGCAUCCUACGGGAGGCAGCAGUGGGGAAUAUUGCACAAUGGGAGGAAGCCUGAUGCAGCAACGCCGCGUGCGGGAUGACGGCCUUCGGGUUGUAAACCGCUUUCGCCUGUGACGAAGCGUGAGUGACGGUAAUGGGUAAAGAAGCACCGGCUAACUACGUG
rnacentral:rRNA from 1 species